rnacentral:rRNA from 1 species
GCAAACACGAAAGUGGACGUAUAGGGUGUGACGCCUGCCCGGUGCUGGAAGAUUAAAUGAUGGGGUGCAAGCUCUUGAUUGAAGUCCCAGUAAACGGCGGCCGUAACUAUAACGGUCCUAAGGUAGCGAAAUUCCUUGUCGGGUAAGUUCCGACCUGCACGAAUGGUGUAACGAUCUGGGCGCUGUCUCAGCCAUGAGCUCGGUGAAAUUGUGGUAUCGGUGAAGACGCCGAUUACCCGCAACGGGACGGAAAGACCCCAUGCACCUUCACUAUAGCUUAACAUUGAGAUUGGGUACAGGAUGUGUAGGAUAGGCGGGAGAUGUUGAAGUGGCUUCGCCAGGAGUCAUGGAAUCAACCUUGAAAUACCGCCCUUUCUGUAUUCGGUUUCUAACUCCAUCAUGUGGAGGACAUUGUUUGGUGGGUAGUUUGACUGGGGUGGUCGCCUCCAAAAAGGUAACGGAGGCUUUCAAAGGUAAGCUCAGUACGCUUGGUAACCGUACGCGGAGUGCAAUGGCAUAAGCUUGCUUGACUGUGAGACCGACAAGUCGAACAGGGUCGAAAGACGGACAUAGUGAUCCGGUGGUUCUGUAUGGAAGGGCCAUCGCUCAAAGGAUAAAAGGUACGCUGGGAUAACAGGCUGAUCUCCCCCAAGAGCUCAUAUCGACGGGGAGGUUUGGCACCUCGAUGUCGGCUCGUCACAUCCUGGGGCUGGAGAAGGUCCCAAGGGUUGGGCUGUUCGCCCAUUAAAGUGGCACGCGAGCUGGGUUCAGAACGUCGCGAGACAGUUCGGUCCCUAUCUGUUGUGGGCGUUGGAAGUUUGAGUGGAUCUGACCUUAGUACGAGAGGACCGGGUUGGACAGACCUCUGGUGAACCUGUUAUGCCGCCAGGUGUACGGCAGGGUAGCUACGUCUGGAAUAGAUAAGCGCUGAAAGCAUCUAAGUGCGAAACUAGCCACGAGAUGAGACUUCCUUAUAGGGUCGUAGGAGAUGACUACGUUGAUAGGCCAUAGGUGUAAAGGUUGAGAGACCAAAGCCAAGUGGUACUAAUAGCCCGAA